UGGGAAUCUUGGACAAUGGGGCGAACCCUGAUCCAGCCAUGCCGCGUGAGUGAUGAAGGCCUUAGGGUCGUAAAGCUCUUUCGCCUGUGAAGAUAAUGACGGUAGCAGGUAAAGAAACCCCGGCUAACUCCGUGCCAGCAGCCGCGGUAAUACGGAGGGGGUUAGCGUUGUUCGGAAUUACUGGGCGUAAAGAGUUCGUAGGCGGACUAGCAAGUUAGAGGUGAAAUCCCAGGGCUCAACCUUGGAACUGCCUUUAAAACUGCUAGUCUAGAGACCGGAAGAGUUAGGGGAAUACCUAGUGUAGAGGUGAAAUUCGUAGAUAUUAGGUGGAACACCAGUGGCGAAGGCGCCUAACUGGUCCGGUACUGACGCUGAGGAACGAAAGCGUGGGGAGCAAACAGGAUUAGAUACCCUGGUAGUCCACGCCGUAAACGAUGAGUGCUAGAUGUUGGGAUUUUCGGAUUUCAGUGUCGCAGCUAACGCAUUAAGC
rnacentral:rRNA from 1 species